UUAAAAACCAAUAGAAAAUAAAUACAUGGAGCCAUUGGCAAAUUUCAGCAACCGCUAGAGGAAAAAAUAUGAAUGGAGGGCGCUGACUGUCUCGGGGGGGAAUAAGUGAAGGCAUAAACGUGGAACAGUUUACUCCUUACCUGCCAGCAUUGGGUUGGACAAGAGAGUCACUCUGGCUGGUUCCAGGUUACCUUGGUCACAACUCUUUUGGCGGCCAUUGGGAUUUGUUUCCUCACAUGGGUCCAACCUGCCAGCACCUCAACCUUCCAUUCUUCAGGCUGAUCUGUUGGCUGUCAUGUUUGAGAUGCCUUUAGGCCUCCUGAAAUAGACUCUGAAGAUGGUCCUGCAAGAUGGAGCAUCAGCUGCACCUGAUACCAAAUGGAGACUGGUUCAGUUAUUCACUCCCUCAUAUUUGCUUGCACUAUUUUCCUGCCCCUCAU